GAUGAACGCUAGCGACAGGCUUAACACAUGCAAGUCGAGGGGCAGCAUAGAAGUAGCAAUACUUUGGUGGCGACCGGCGCACGGGUGAGUAACGCGUAUGCAACCUACCUAUCAGAGGGGAAUAACCCGGCGAAAGUCGGACUAAUACCGUAUAAAACAGGGGCACCGCAUGGUGAUAUUUGUUAAAGAAAUUCGCUGAUAGAUGGGCAUGCGUUCCAUUAGGUAGUUGGUGAGGUAACGGCUCACCAAGCCGACGAUGGAUAGGGGAACUGAGAGGUUGGCCCUCCACACUGGUACUUAGACACUGACCAGACUCCUACGGGAGGCAGCAAUGAGGAAUAUUGGUCAAUGGGCGGGCGCCUGAACCAGCCAAGUCGCGUGAAGGAAGAAGGAUCUAUGGUUCGUAAACUUCUUUUGCAGGGGAAUAAAGUGCAGGACGUGUCCUGUUUUGUAUGUACCCUGAGAAUAAGGAUCGGCUAACUCCGUGCCAGCCGCCGCUGUAAAAC
rnacentral:rRNA from 1 species